UACGUAGGGGGCUAGCGUUGUCCGGAUUUAUUGGGCGUAAAGAGCGUGUAGGCGGCCAGAUAGGUCUGCUGUGAAAACUCGAGGCUCAACCUCGAGAUGUCGGCGGAAACCAUUUGGCUAGAGUCCGGAAGAGGAGAGUGGAAUUCCUGGUGUAGCGGUGAAAUGCGCAGAUAUCAGGAAGAACACCAAUGGCGAAAGCAGCUCUCUGGGACGGUACUGACGCUGAGACGCGAAAGCGUGGGGAGCGAACAGG
rnacentral:rRNA from 1 species